CAGUAGCCACGGUAAUACAGAGGGUGCGAGCGUUAAUCGGAUUUACUGGGCGUAAAGCGUGCGUAGGCGGCUUCUUAAGUCGGAUGUGAAAUCCCUGAGCUUAACUUAGGAAUUGCAUUCGAUACUGGGAAGCUAGAGUAUGGGAGAGGAUGGUAGAAUUCCAGGUGUAGCGGUGAAAUGCGUAGAGAUCUGGAGGAAUACCGAUGGCGAAGGCAGCCAUCUGGCCUAAUACUGACGCUGAGGUACGAAAGCAUGGGGAGCAAACAGGAUUAGAUACCCCGGUAGUCCCUGGCUCUUAUAA
rnacentral:rRNA from 1 species